CAAGUAGCAAGCUACUUGAUAAUGGAAAGCGGCGGACGGGUGAGUAACGCGUGGGUAACCUGCCCUAUACAGGGGAACAACAACGAGAAAUCGUUGCUAAUACCGCAUAAGCGCACAGUAUCGCAUGAUACAGUGCGAAAAACUCCGGUGGUAUAGGAUGGACCCGCGUCUGAUUAGCUAGUUGGUGAGGUAAAAGCUUACCAAGGCGACGAUCAGUAGCCGACCUGAGAGGGCGAUCGGCCACAUUGGGACUGAGACACGGCCCAAACUCCUACGGGAGGCAGCAGUGGGGAAUAUUGCACAAUGGGGGAAACCUGAUGCAGCAACGCCGCGUGAAGGAGGACGGUUUUCGGAUUGUAAACUUCUAUCAGCAGGGAAGAAAAUGACGGUACCUGACUAAGAAGCCCCGGCUAACUACGUGCCAGCAGCCGCGGUAAUACGUAGGGGGCAAGCGUUAUCCGGAUUUACUGGGUGUAAAGGGUGCGUAGGCGGCAAAGCAAGUCAGAUGUGAAAGCCAUGAGCUCAACUCAUGGACUGCAUUUGAAACUGUCUAGCUAGAGUGCUGGAGAGGUAAGUGGAAUUCCUAGUGUAGCGGUGAAAUGCGUAGAUAUUAGGAAGAACACCAGUGGCGAAGGCGGCUUACUGGACUGUAACUGACGCUGAGGCACGAAAGCGUGGGGAGCGAACAGGAUUAGAUACCCUGGUAGUCCACGCCGUAAACGAUGAAUGCUAGGUGUCGGGGGUCGACAGACCUUCGGUGCCGCAGCUAACGCAUUAAGCAUUCCACCUGGGGAGUACGAUCGCAAGAUUGAAACUCAAAGGAAUUGACGGGGGCCCGCACAAGCGGUGGAGCAUGUGGUUUAAUUCGAAACAACGCGAAGAACCUUACCAAAUCUUGACAUCCUGAUGAUCGUUUCUUAAUCGGAGCUUUCCUUUCGGGGACAUCAGAGACAGGUGGUGCAUGGUUGUCGUCAGCUCGUGUCGUGAGAUGUUGGGUUAAGUCCCGCAACGAGCGCAACCCUUAUCUUUAGUAGCCAGCAUUUAGGAUGGGGACUCUAGAGAGACUGCCGGGGAUAACUCGGAGGAAGGUGGGGAUGACGUCAAAUCAUCAUGCCCCUUAUGAUUUGGGCUACACACGUGCUACAAUGGUGGUUACAAAGGGAAGCAAGAGAGUGAUCUUAAGCAAACCUCAAAAAAGCCAUCUCAGUUCGGAUUGUAGUCUGCAACUCGACUACAUGAAGCUGGAAUCGCUAGUAAUCGCGAAUCAGAAUGUCGCGGUGAAUACGUUCCCGGGCCUUGUACACACCGCCCGUCACACCAUGGGAGUUGGAAGCGCCCGAAGCCGGUGACUAAACCCGUAAGGGAUAGAGCCGUCGAAGGUGAAGUCGAUGACUAGGGUGAAGUCGAAACAAGGUA
rnacentral:rRNA from 1 species